GAGACACGGCCCAGACUCCUACGGGAGGCAGCAGUGGGGAAUCUUAGACAAUGGGCGCAAGCCUGAUCUAGCCAUGCCGCGUGAGUGAUGAAGGCCUUAGGGUCGUAAAGCUCUUUCGCCUGUGAUGAUAAUGACAGUAGCAGGUAAAGAAACCCCGGCUAACUCCGUGCCAGCAGCCGCGGUAAUACGGAGGGGGUUAGCGUUGUUCGGAAUUACUGGGCGUAAAGCGCACGUAGGCGGAUUGGAAAGUUGGGGGUGAAAUCCCGGGGCUCAACCCCGGAACUGCCUCCAAAACUACUAGUCUAGAGUUCGAGAGAGGUGAGUGGAAUUCCAAGUGUAGAGGUGAAAUUCGUAGAUAUUUGGAGGAACACCAGUGGCGAAGGCGGCUCACUGGCUCGAUACUGACGCUGAGGUGCGAAAGUGUGGGGAGCAAACAGGAUUAGAUACCCUGGUAGUCCACACCGUAAACGAUGAAUGCCAGUCGUCGGGCAGUAUACUGUUCGGUGACACACCUAACGGAUUAAGCAUUCCGCCUGGGGAGUACGGUCGCAAGAUUAAAACUCAAAGGAAUUGACGGGGGCCCGCACAAGCGGUGGAGCAUGUGGUUUAAUUCGAA
rnacentral:rRNA from 1 species